rnacentral:rRNA from 1 species
UAGUCCACACAGUAAACGAUGGAUGUUAGAUGUCCGAUCUUUUAGAUUGGGUGUCGAAGCUAACGCGUUAAACAUCCCGCCUGGGGAGUACGGUCGCAAGAUUAAAACUCAAAGGAAUUGACGGGGACCCGCACAAGCGGUGGAGUAUGUGGUUUAAUUCGAAGCUACGCGCAGAACCUUACCCACUUUUGAAUGUAUAUUGUAGAUAGUAGAGAUAUUAUCUUUUGGGGUUUACUCCAGGUAUACACAGGUGCUGCAUGGCUGUCGUCAGCUCGUGUCGUGAGAUGUUGGGUUAAGUCCCGCAACGAGCGCAACCCUUUUUGUUAGUUACCAUCAGGUUAUGCUGGGUACUUUAGCAAGACUGCCUGUUUUAAGCAGGAGGAAGGUGGGGAUGACGUCAAGUCCUCAUGGCCCAUAUAGGUGGGGCUACACACGUACUACAAUGGUGGUGACAGAAGGAAGCGACGGGGUGACCCUGAGCUAAUCUUAAAAAGCCAUCUCAGUUCGGAUUGCUCU